UACGUAGGGUGCGAGCGUUGUCCGGAAUUAUUGGGCGUAAAGAGCUUGUAGGCGGUUUGUCGCGUCUGCUGUGAAAAUCCGGGGCUCAACCCCGGACUUGCAGUGGGUACGGGCAGACUAGAGUGUGGUAGGGGAGACUGGAAUUCCUGGUGUAGCGGUGAAAUGCGCAGAUAUCAGGAGGAACACCGGUGGCGAAGGCGGGUCUCUGGGCCGAUACUGACACUGAGAAGCGAAAGCGUGGGGAGCGAACAGG
rnacentral:rRNA from 1 species